rnacentral:rRNA from 1 species
GUAGGUGAACCUGCGGAAGGAUCAUUAACGAGUUUUGAAGUGGGU